UAGGGAAUCUUAGACAAUGGGGGCAACCCUGAUCUAGCCAUGCCGCGUGUGUGAUGAAGGCCCUAGGGUCGUAAAGCACUUUCGCCAGAGAUGAUAAUGACAGUAUCUGGUAAAGAAACCCCGGCUAACUCCGUGCCAGCAGCCGCGGUAAUACGGAGGGGGUUAGCGUUGUUCGGAAUUACUGGGCGUAAAGCGCACGUAGGCGGAUUAGUAAGUUAGAGGUGAAAUCCCAGGGCUCAACCCUGGAACUGCCUUUAAUACUGCUAGUCUUGAGUUCGAGAGAGGUAAGUGGAAUUCCGAGUGUAGAGGUGAAAUUCGUAGAUAUUCGGAGGAACACCAGUGGCGAAGGCGGCUUACUGGCUCGAUACUGACGCUGAGGUGCGAAAGUGUGGGGAGCAAA
rnacentral:rRNA from 1 species